UAGCAAAAACUGCAGUUACUUU
rnacentral:miRNA from 3 species